GUGGGGAAUUUUGGACAAUGGGCGCAAGCCUGAUCCAGCAAUGCCGCGUGCAGGAAGAAGGCCUUCGGGUUGUAAACUGCUUUUGUACGGAACGAAACGGUCCUGGUUAAUACCUGGGGCUAAUGACGGUACCGUAAGAAUAAGCACCGGCUAACUACGUGCCAGCAGCCGCGGUAAUACGUAGGGUGCAAGCGUUAAUCGGAAUUACUGGACGUAAAGCGUGCGCAGGCGGUUUUGUAAGACAGGCGUGAAAUCCCCGGGCUCAACCUGGGAAUUGCGCUUGUGACUGCAAGGCUGGAGGGCGGCAGAGGGGGAUGGAAUUCCGCGUGUAGCAGUGAAAUGCGUAGAUAUGCGGAGGAACACCGAUGGCGAAGGCAAUCCCCUGGGCCUGCACUGACGCUCAUGCACGAAAGCGUGGGGAGCAAACAGGAUUAGAUACCCCGGUAGUCC
rnacentral:rRNA from 1 species